CAUGGAGGUGACACAGGGGUGACACAGAGGUGACACAUGGUGACACAGGACGUCAGGUCCUCCACCACAACCUCCUCCCAUUGGCCAACGUCAACCAGGGGGAUCAUAGAGAUGGGAACAUGGCGUU